CAGAGUUUGACAAGGGGAUCCAGUCCAAGCAUUCAGUCAGGAUUUAUAUUUUUUUAUUUGAGAAGGCGCUACACACAUUUGGAACUUGUUUAGUUAAAGUGUAAAGAAGAAAACAGAAUGGAUUUGGGAAGGAGAAAAUCUGCAUGGUUCUUUAUUUUGGUUGCCUUUCAAUUGGCUUCCACUCCGAUGACCAUAUCAGCAGAAUCAGCAUGCAUGUCGACAACCACUGGUGCAUCAACAUCAGCUUGUAUUUCUACAACCACUGGAGUAUCAACAACAGCUGGAGGUUCAACAACCACUGGAGGAUCAAUAACAACAGGAGC